rnacentral:tRNA from 1 species
CAGGCAGUAGCUCACUCGUAAAGCUUCCGGUUUAUGUGCGGAAAGGCCUGGGUUCAAUUCCCGGCUUCUUGU